CGCUGGCGCUACCCUUACAUGUAUCUGCGCGUCCGCCAUAUUGAAGCAGUCGAGAGUCUAGUAAACAAAUAUAAUAAUGAAUAUUGUAUGGGGCGUUAUUUAGGUCUUUAUUAACAUGCUCCUUCAGCAUAUAGACAUUCUCGCUUUGCGUGAGAAAGCCGGGUGAAGAAGUACUUGGUGAACAUUCACAUGCUGAAUGAAUUUACGCUUGCUGUAAUGUGAAACAAGCGUACUCGGGAUGAAAUCAUUUUGCAUCGAUGUUACGUUGUGCUUUCGGAAGGUGCAGUAGCAAGGGUUCGGAUUUACGUCGUCAUGGAAACAGUUUCGCGCAGCUACAAAAAAGUCACAGCAGCCAUCUGCGAUCGAUGGAGGAGACACCGAGCAGAAGUGGGAAUUAGUGAUGUCACACUAGAGGACAUCCUGAUCUUUGGUACAGGAAGUGACUCUAUCCCCUGCUGUUGGCUUUGACCUUCAUCCUGCAGUCCAGUCUCUACAUGAUUCAUCCCAAGUCAAUACAUGUGCUGAUAUCCUUAA